AUGCAGCUUUGUGUUGUAGAUGGGGGAAGAUUGCAUGGAAAUUCAAGUGAUGAAAGUGUGAAGCGAGAGGAUCAUGGGCCACGCCAAGAACAAACCCUUUCCGUGGACAUUGACAAGGAGUGCGCGACCCAGCUUCAGUAUGAGCUGUAUGAAGAGUAUGUGGAGGAUGAGGUAUCCCAUGCAUUGAUCAGAGACAUAUCAGUCAGAGCAUCGCAAAGAAUCGUGUAUGUAAUUGACAGUGAUAGCAGUGAAGAUCUUGUAAAUGAAAUUUGGACUGACCCCGAGCACGAAGAGCUGGUCGAGACUGACAGGAGGCUGAGGGAGCAGGAAGAAAAAUAUAAAGAGUUCGCGAAGAAAUGUCAUGAGGAACAAGAAAAGGAUGCCAUUGAGCAGCAGCGGAAAGAUGCGGAUCUGGCAAAACUCUGCCAGCAAGAGGAGGAAUGGAAGACAAACGAUCAAGUAGAAAGGGAUAAUGGAAUUGCUCAUAUGUACCAGGCACUUUACAACCAGAACGACGAGCAGGUCAGAGAGGCGACGACGGUGUCUGGUGGUGAAGCACAAGUGCAUGCUGCUGGUCAUGGGGGAGCGACAUUGAUAGGGCAAACGACAGGAGUACAAACCAGAUUGGACGAGUUCUACCCUUUUGACCUUUGCUUGGUGACGCCUUCAGCAAUGAGAGGCAACAGAGACUCUGCAAGGCGAAAUGAUGUCAGGCAGACUAAAAACGGAGGACCAAGAAAUGAAGAAAAGGCAGAUGAAAGGCAAACGUAG
rnacentral:rRNA from 1 species